rnacentral:rRNA from 1 species
CCAGAAAAAAAGUAGCUACGUUCUUCACAACUCAAAGAAUUUGGCGGUUAAUGAAAACCUCAGAGGAACCUGUAUGUUAAUCGAUAAACCACGAUAAGGUUCAUCUUUAUUUUUAUUUGUAUAUCUCUAUACAAAUGGAAUGUUUUUCUAGAAUUAUUUUCUUUAAGGUUAAUCCUUUAAUUUUAGGUCAAGGUGCAGUUCUAUAAAGGUUCAUAUGGGUUACUUCAAUUUUUAUUUAUUAUUUAAUUCUUAAAGAAUCAAUUUUAGGAUUUGACAGUAAUUAAAAUUAAUUAAUUUUUUUGAAUUAU